CAAGCCCUGGAAACGGGGUCUAAUACCGGAUAUGACUGUCCGCCGCAUGGUGGAUGGUGUAAAGCUCCGGCGGUGCAGGAUGAGCCCGCGGCCUAUCAGCUUGUUGGUGAGGUAGUGGCUCACCAAGGCGACGACGGGUAGCCGGCCUGAGAGGGCGACCGGCCACACUGGGACUGAGACACGGCCCAGACUCCUACGGGAGGCAGCAGUGGGGAAUAUUGCACAAUGGGCGAAAGCCUGAUGCAGCGACGCCGCGUGAGGGAUGACGGCCUUCGGGUUGUAAACCUCUUUCAGCAGGGAAGAAGCGAGAGUGACGGUACCUGCAGAAGAAGCGCCGGCUAACUACGUGCCAGCAGCCGCGGUAAUACGUAGGGCGCAAGCGUUGUCCGGAAUUAUUGGGCGUAAAGAGCUCGUAGGCGGCUUGUCACGUCGGUUGUGAAAGCCCGGGGCUUAACCCCGGGUCUGCAGUCGAUACGGGCAGGCUAGAGUUCGGUAGGGGAGAUCGGAAUUCCUGGU
rnacentral:rRNA from 1 species